AGUGAACGCUGGCGGUAGGCCUAACACAUGCAAGUCGAACGGCAGCACAGUAAGAGCUUGCUCUUACGGGUGGCGAGUGGCGGUCGGGUGAGGAAUACAUCGGAAUCUACUUUUUCGUGGGGGAUAACGUAGGGAAACUUACGCUAAUACCGCAUACGACCUACGGGUGAAAGCAGGGGAUCUUCGGACCUUGCGCGAUUGAAUGAGCCGAUGUCGGAUUAGCUAGUUGGCGGGGUAAAGGCCUACCAAGGCGACGAUCCGUAGCUGGUCUGAGAGGAUGAUCAGCCACACUGGAACUGAGACACGGUCCAGACUCCUACGGGAGGCAGCAGUGGGGAAUAUUGGACAAUGGGCGCAAGCCUGAUCCAGCCAUACCGCGUGGGUGAAGAAGGCCUUCGGGUUGUAAAGCCCUUUUGUUGGGAAAGAAAAGCAGCAGGUUAAUACCCCGCUGUUCUGACGGUACCCAAAGAAUAAGCACCGGCUAACUUCGUG
rnacentral:rRNA from 1 species